rnacentral:rRNA from 1 species
ACUAACAAGGAUUCCCCUAGUAACUGCGAGUGAAGCGGGAAAAGCUCAAAUUUAAAAUCUGGCAGUCUUUGACUGUCCGAGUUGUAAUCUAGAGAAGCAUUAUCCGCGCUGGACCGUGUACAAGUCUCCUGGAAUGGAGCGUCAUAGAGGGUGAGAAUCCCGUCUUUGACACGGACUGCCAGGGCUUUGUGAUGUGCUCUCAAAGAGUCGAGUUGUUUGGGAAUGCAGCUCAAAAUGGGUGGUAAAUUCCAUCUAAAGCUAAAUAUUGGCGAGAGACCGAUAGCGAACAAGUACCGUGAGGGAAAGAUGAAAAGAACUUUGGAAAGAGAGUUAAACAGUACGUGAAAUUGCUGAAAGGGAAACGCUUGAAGUCAGUCGCGUUGGCCAGGAAUCAACCUUGCUUUAUAGCCUUUGCUCGCAUACAUCAGUUGGGAUUGAGGAACUCAGCACGCCGCAAGGCCGGGUUUUUAACCACGUACGUGCUUAGGAUGCUGGCAUAAUGGCUUUAAUCGACCCGUCUUGAAACACGGACCAAGGAGUCUAACAUGCCUGCGAGUGUUUGGGUGGAAAACCCGAGCGCGUAAUGAAAGUGAAAGUUGAGAUCCCUGUCGUGGGGAGCAUCGACGCCCGGAUCUGACCUUUUGUGACGAUUCCGCGGUAGAGCAUGUAUGUUGGGACCCGAAAGAUGGUGAACUAUGCCUGAAUAGGGUGAAGCCAGAGGAAACUCUGGUGGAGGCUCGUAGCGAUUCUGACGUGCAAAUCGAUCGUCAAAUUUGGGUAUAGGGGCGAAAGACUAA